CAGGACGCUGUGAUCCGAAAACUGAGGGAGGAGCUCGAGGCGCAGAAGGACGGGGACGUUGAUGAAUCCCCUGAGGAAAUGGAGGAAGAGGAGGAAGAGGAAGAGGA